GAUGAACGCUAGCGGCAGGCCUAACACAUGCAAGUCGAGGGGCAGCACAGAAACAGCAAUGUUUUGGUGGCGACCGGCGGACGGGUGCGUAACGCGUAUGCAACCUACCUUUAACAGGGGGAUAACGGAGAGAAAUUUCCACUAAUACCCCAUAACAUCGAUCAAGGCAUCUUGAUUGGUUGAAAACUCCGGUGGUUAAAGAUGGGCAUGCGUUGUAUUAGGUAGUUGGUGAGGUAAUGGCUCACCAAGCCUACGAUACAUAGGGGGACUGAGAGGUUAGCCCCCCACACUGUGACUGAGACACGGACCAGACGCCUACGGGAGGCAGCAGUGAGGAAUAUUGGUCAAUGGGGGCAACCCUGAACCAGCCAUGCCGCGUGCAGGAAGACGGCUCUAUGAGUUGUAAACUGCUUUUAAACAGGGAUAAAGCACAGUAUGUAUACUGUGUUGAAGGUACUGUAAGAAUAAGGAUCGGCUAACUCCGUGCCAGCCGCCGCCGUAA
rnacentral:rRNA from 1 species